rnacentral:rRNA from 1 species
CCCUUAGAUGUUCUGGGCUGCACGCGCGCUACACUGAUGCAUGCAACGAGUUUAUAACCUUGGCCUGAAAGGUCUGGGUAAUCUUUUGAACGAGCAUCGUGAUAGGGAUAGAUUAUUGCAAUUGUUAAUCUUGAACGAGGAAUUCCUAGUAAACGCGAGUCAUCAGCUCGCAUUGAUUACGUCCCUGCCCUUUGUACACACCGCCCGUCGCACCUACCGAUUGAAUGGUUCGGUGAAGAUCUCGGACUUCGAUAUUUAUUCUUUAUUGAGUUUAUAUUGUGGGAAGUUAUCUAAACCUCAUCAUUUAGAGGAAGGUGAAGUCGUAACA